CAUGAGACAGCUCCACGUAUGUGACAGGGCCUGAGUCCACCACUGUCACACUACUGUGUGUGAGCAGGGCAGUGGCUCCCAAAUCCUGUGGCCUUGUCUUCUGGGGCCCCAGGCCUUCAAGAGGCCUCCUCAGGCAGACCCUGCAGGUUCCAGCCAAACGUGAGGCUUUAACAGCAGAGCAUAAGCAAGGACAUCUUCUGACGGGCCUUUGGUUGAGUGUGGAUGUGGACAGACCCUGACCCUGGGAGGCUUCAUGACGAUGAGGAAGAGAAGACCCACAAAGCUUCCUGAAUCCUGUCCUGCAGGAAGAGUCCACUCCAGCUGUAUAAGAAGAGAGUGAAGAGAUCCUUUUUCCGCUCACUGGUCCUACCAGCAUAACUUUAGCAAGAAGAUUGCACCAGGAAUUUCCUAUGGACGUAAAUCACUGUUUGAGGUGUUAAAGUGAGUAAUUAGGUCAUUUAGCAGAAAUGCACUGACAUGUAGUGAGACUGUUGAGACCCACGGGGAAGACAGAUUAAUGUGGCAAACUGCUUCCAACCUCAGUGCAAAGGAAGCGGAAGUAGAAUCCUUAUUAUCUGGGAGAAACGAUGUUCCCCUUCGUUCAUCGUCCUUAAAAUAAGACAAAUCCAGAUGUAACCGCCCUUAUUUACAGCAAGCUGACGACUCCGCUUGUCAAAUUCAGUUGAAUGUCUAAAGUAGCUCAACGUUAAUCCAUCCCUCCCCCCGAGGCCCGUAAGAACCAGAUCACGGGUCUACAUAAUAAAUUCUCU